AAAAAAAAAAAAAAACAAGCUAAUUGUGGUGUCGUGCGGUGUGGUGCGGUGCAGGUGUAAGCAGUGAGCCUCCAGACACUGCCCCUUUCUCCCUCAGCUUUCUGGGGAGCUGCCAGGACACAGCAGCCUCACUGUGCUCAGAUAGACUGUAGGGGUGGGGGUCAUCCCGGGUGCCUUUCUGCCCCUAUACAUUUUGUUAACAAGGCAGCUGCACUUGUCUACUUGAGAUGCGAGUUGAUUUCCCGACGUCUUCUGGCCCGAGAUGUCUCAUUCCCACAAAGGAGGCUGACCCAGGCGGCUGUGGGUGCUGCCAUUUUGUUCUCAUUGUUUUCACUUGUGAUACUAACUAUUGUUUUUCUCCCCCAUGCCAAGAGCAUGUGCCCUCUCCUUCCGUGCACACCCUCCAGGCGCUCUGUGUGGUGGCUUCUGUUAACCCCUUCUUGACUUUUGGAUUUUUUCUUGUCGCUUUGGUGGUUUGGGGAACUCUGGUGUGGGGCUAGGCUGCCUCUGGGUCUCUGAGCCGUCCGCCUUGGGCACAGCGCUCCCCCGGAAGUUCAGUCGGGGUGGCUUCCUGCUGGCUGCUGUUUGGCGUACGUCCCAACACUGAGCAUGCUCGGAGAACUCUGCCUGGAGUUUGGGGCUGGGCUGGGGGCCUGCUGGCUUCAGGGUGCCCCCCAGGCUCUCCCACCCUGGUUGUGCCCUCUGGGUAUGCGAGCUUUGUCACCGGCUCCUCCGACCUGAGCCCUCGCCUGUUCUGAUUAUGAUGCCACUCCGUAUUUUUGACUUCUCCUGGUGGAUCUUGGUCCAUCUUCAUUACCCUCUGUCCUUUCAGAAAUGAGCUGAAAUCCAGAACAAGGAGGGUCGGUAGUAGAAUCAAGGCUCCAUUUGGAGAAAGAAAUGAUUCCUUUCCUUCAUCCUUGUCCCCAGCGUCUCUGGUGGUCUCAGGGAAGGGCCUGCUCACUGUUGGGGAGCUGGGUGCGGGGCCUGGGGGGCAGGUGGAGGGCCGCUGCUGUUUUCUCUCACUCAUUUCCUAGGUCUUCUUAUCUCCUCUCUGUGUGGCUCUGGUGACAGGGACGAUCCGUAAGGCUCAGAACCUUCUGAAACAGUAUUCCCAGCAUGGUCUAGAUGGGAAAAAGGGGGGCUCUAACCUCAUUCCUCUGGAAGGUCACGAGCAUGAUUUCCGAGUUAAGCACCUGUCCGAGGCCUUGAACGACAAGCACGGG
rnacentral:lncRNA from 1 species